rnacentral:misc_RNA from 1 species
CGCUCUCUUGCUCGUAGCAUUUCAACCUACACGCAAGUUUUGCGCGCACAAACGCUUGCAGAGAACUCUAAAAAAAACGCAAAAAAGGGGGUCGAAGACGUCGAAAGGGCAACUGUGUACAACGCAGGUAUCACACAUACCCCCCCCUGCAGUUACCAGCUCCCUUUGAGCCAAGCGUGUCGUAGAUACUGUAUCUGGGCGCGCAAGCCGAAUUAAGGGCAGGGGACCACGCACACACAAAACCUCUGCACCGCACGGGGGAGAACUUGAAGCCGCUAAGGGGUGUCUCACGCAAAGGCGCACACACGCAAACGCAUCUCCCUGCCGAUUAGCCUUCUUUCCCUGCACUGCCCUUCCCUUGUCCCGCGUCUCUCUUUUCCCUUCACCUACUCCCUUUCGACUUCGCUUCACAGUGUUGUGCUAACUCUAACUCUCGUGGGGAUUUCCAUCGCUUCCGCUCUCUUCAUCUUCUCCGAAGCAAGAGAGUUAACACGCGUAGAGCGUGGUGUGUGCUCACACGUGCAUCACUGACGCAAUUUGGUAGUCGGUGCUUUUCGAUUACUACUGCCGAGAGAAGCGAAUGUACUGCUGAUAGGGGAAACUCACGUACCCCAUCUAGGUGGAUUCACCACACAUCUCGUAUUCUACGCCCCGUUAGCUCUUCUUCGCUGUGCAUACACUGGCGCGCCGUGCCUCGCGCAAGCCCUUGCAUUCACUGUGUCUGCGUGGAGCGCUUGUGCGCAAGACGGCCGCCUCUGGAACCUUGGGUAUUACUCUCUGCCAGCGCAAAUCCUUGGUGCCUCUCCACUGUUGUGCUUGCGUGUUCUUGUCGCUCGGCUGUGCUCCCACGCAGUGGUGCUCACGCUCCCCCUCUUCUUCUCUUUUUUUUUCGGUUGUUUCUGUUUUGCUUUUACCAUCUCCUCCUCUCUCUUCAUCACCUUCUUUCUCAUUCUGCAUGUCGUCUGCACCCCCUCCCUCCGCAUUCAAACGUUGACGUGUCUGCGGCCGCAUCUGUCCGUGUGCCUGGAGUGUCGUGCGUUUUGCUUGUUUUUCUCCCCUUCCGCCUGCAGCCUCCCUCCCCCCACCACUUCUUUUUCGCCCGUGCGUGUCUGCGUGCUCCUUGCUUUUAGCCUCCCGUUUUCUCAUACGGUGCUCGCGCAUACGUACGGAAGUCCACAUACAUCUAUACAUCUAUGUCUAUAUAGAGCUAUAUUAUUCUUUUUGGAUCUGUCUUUUGCGUGAGGCGUUCUCUGCGCCGAUUGGCCCAUCCCGAUCCCCUCUGCUGUUCUACAGUGGGCUUUUGCGCCAACUCACCCCGUCCCUUUCUCUGUGUACUUUCAGGUCGUCUAGUGCUAUUCCUUCUUGUUUUUUUUUUCUGUGUGGUGUUCUUUGGUCCCUUCUUUCCUGCAUAUGAUAUCUGUGGCAAGCAACCUGUAUCGAGCAAGUGGGCUGUGCGGUUCCGUUGCGAUGGAGACUAGUCUUCCAGAGGCGAGCAGACUGGGAACGCCCAAAGAGCUCACUGCCUCCGUUCUCAUCGAGCGUGGCAAAACCAGGGAGCACAGGAUCAACACAGUGAUGGAAAGGGGCGGCGCGGGCAGCGCACAGAACGCAUCGCAGCUGUUGAAAAAGGAAGCGCGCAAUGCAUGGCGCACGCAGGACACCUUCGUGGACUUCGACACAGACAACAGUGACUCCGAUGCCCAGUCAGGUGAGGAGACGGACCCCAUCGGUGCCUGUAUGGGCGAUGGCAGUGCUUCGUCUGGCUCGUACUACGCUUCUUUCUACGCCUCCAAAGGUGAUGACUCGGACACCACCUUGGACGGCACGCCGUCGCCGUCGUAUGGGGAGUAUGAGGAGAGUAACGAAGAGGUCGACGAAGCCGAGGAGGGAGAGGGGAUUGUCGGCAACGAGGCGUCGCGCAUCAGCGGCAACAGCUUCUCCAGCACAGACCCUGGGAGGAAUCUCAGCGUCAUGUUUGACGUUAGCCGCAAUAGCGUCUUUCCAGAGCAGCGAAGUAGCGUUAAGGGCUCCCCUGUGAGUGCGCUGCCGCCGGCCAUGAUUUCCGGCGCGCCAAGCUCGCACAGAGCGCACGUCGCCUUGCUCGUGACUGGCCUCUCUGACACGCCGCGGCGCGCCCACGGCAGCGCUGCCUCGAUGAUGCCGCCGUACACCACGACGACGGCGUUGAACCCGAAGAUGAGCGUAUCUUUGGUGUUAUCUCCCUCCGGCACGCUCAGCAACGGGACGUCCGCACCACCCGCAGAUCCGCCGGCGGACUUGAGCAAACACGAGAGCGGCAACGCUGGCACCAGGCACCCACAUUCAUCGGAGCAGAACAAUUCAAUGAUGCUCUCGCAGAUGUAUUUCUCCUUCGGCUCCGAAGCGCAUCAAGCGGAAGCGCGGUCGCCUCUCUGCAACGAUCAUGGCUGCGACAGAAGUAAUCACGAACUUCCUACAUUGGCUUGGGGUGACGAGAAGAGGCGCCGGAAGGUAAGCAUGAUGCAGAUGGAGGCGAUGCUGCCACUUCACGGGCAUGCGAACCGCGUCAGCCACAACGAGGACUCCGUUGUCGGCAGCAUCUCUGGCUUUUGGCCUAGCAAUGACGAAAAGAGUGAGGAUAACAUGUCGACACGGCCGUUGAUGAGCAAGAUGGAUAGCACCUUUCCGUCCUUCCUGAGGUACGCAGAUGCGCGUUCGCCCUGCAACAUCCCAGAAGAGACGCGAAACGCAUCUUGCGGAACGAAGCAAGCUGACAAGCAGCUGACGACGUCCGCUGACGGGCGCCACGAGGGCAGAAACGAGCACAGCAGCAAUUCCACUGGCCAUCUGCCGCGCCGCUUUUUGUUUUUCCACGCACACACCGGCCAUGGCGGCAGUUCGCCAGGCGAAGCCUUCCUCUCCGGUAAGGCGCUUUCCCCCAACGCCAUCGUUCGGGUGCUUCGGGGCGAUUUCGACAGCCGCGACAUCAGCCUUGAUAGUCGCUUCCUUGAUACCGACCCUCAUCAUAAGAGCGGUUCGACUAUCAUGGAGGUCAAAGGGCCUUCGCGUCAGCCACCAGCGUCCUCAAGGCACGCGUUGACUGCAGAUGGUGCAGCCGAUAGACACGGCGCAAGCACAGCAACGGCGGGCGACAGCGAAACCUCGUCGGGCCGCCGUGUUGAGGAGCCGGUGCGUCGCCGACCGUCUGGCGAUGCGAUCCUGAGCAUCUGUAGAGGGGCCUCUUUUGGCCAUACGCGUGAAUCUUUCUCCGUGACCCGGCCGCUCAGCUCCGGCCAAGUGCAUAGUCUAGACCCUGUGCCUUCGCAGCAGACGCUCAUCGGUGUGUGGCGACUGCUGAGCUUCCGCGAGCAGGGCGACACGCCUCUCACGAGCGUCGAGCAUGUGCCACACAAGAGAAAAUCAAAGAAAAAGCGUAGCAAGGACAAGAAGAGGAGCAAGGAGCACAAAAAGCAGCGCAGGCCACGCCCCACUGCCGAGUGCGGCCGCGUGGGCAUCGACUCAGGAAGGAGUGAGAAUGCCCGUGAUGACGCUAACAAGGAUGACGGCGCCCACGUCAACGCGGCACGAAUGUGCAAGGAGAGGGAUACAAUUCGCUUGCCGGCUCGAUUAUCCGGCGUGAGCGCCGCUGGCGACGCACCAGCUGAAUGCCAUACCGGCGUGACUUGCUAUCGUCCCAGUUCCCCUCCUGGAUCGGGCGAGGCCGCUGAGAAGCAAGGAGGUCUCCGAAGUAGUGUGGAGGCAAACUGCCACCCUCUCCGCCGGCAGCAGGCGGCGCUGCAAGACCUGUCCAUGGGCGCACCGCCCACCGCGGAUAACCUGAAGAUACGAGCGCUUUCCUCCCGGACAGCUGUCCGCACCGUCUUUGUGACACCUGACACACUCACCGCUCCGCCGUCGCGCAAUUCAUCAGCGGAAAAGGUAUCCGACGCUGCCGCGAAUGCUUGUGUGCCCCAGCCCUCCGGUGCUGGCGUCGUGCGCGCCGUGGAUAGUGCGAGCGUCGAUGCAGCACAGAAACCCGACCGCUUCGAGAAGGUCGAGGAGCCGCCAGUAGAGAGCCCAUCCGCGACAGUGCGCCGCGUGACUGUACGCUCAGGGAAUUCAAAGGUGUUAAUGAACCAUGUUCGCGGGUGCAGUACAAGCAGCGACUCCGACGGCGGUGCGCGGCGGCUUCGAGGAGCGCCAGCCGCGCAGGUGCGGCUAUCCGUAUCGCCGCCAAACGGACGCCUCCCGAUUCGUUCGUACGACGGCUUGGCCGCUCACAACGGCGAAGGAUCGCUGCGGUUCCCAACCCGUCCGCAGGAGGGACUGCCACCGCUUUAGCUCUGCCUGGAGGCAGCGACAAUGCCUCAACCCUCUCUCCCUCGCCAUUCUUCAGCACAUGUGUCUGUCUGCCGAUGUGUGUAUGUGUGUAGUGUGUCUGCAAGUACCUCUGCUGCCUCUGCUAUUUUUCUUCGCUGGCCUUUGCAUGUGAGUUUUCAGAUGGUGCUGUUGUUGCAAGGGCUCUCGAGGAGAGGAAGGUCUUGUGUCUUCUUGUCUUCUUCUCCUGCUCUUUCACUCUGGCCGCUGUCGAUGAGUUUGUAUGCGCGCAAGCGACUCCCAGUGACUUAAUCGAACUCUCGCCUGAAGCUGGUACAUAUCUUUCUCUGUGGCUUUUAUGCCUCACCACGCCCAAGCAAUCACACAGGACAGGCGGGUAAUGCUCCCCCUGUGCGGCAACAACGACCAAAAAACAACAGCAACCAAACUGUUCGGCAUUGCCAUGCUCCUGCGAUUGCGUUUGAGAGGAUGAGAAAUCACCUCGCCUCCUCGAUACACACACACACACACACACACGCACACGGGUUCUCUUACAGCUCAGCCAUUCAGCCGCCUCUGAGGCCCAUCCGGGGAGAUGUCACAUAGACACCACACCCAGAACCCGCCGUUCUAUCCGCCCUUCUUACCACACGCGCCCAAAUACGAGCUCUCUGUGCUUAUGGCGCCGUUUUCCUUUGUUCGCCCGCUAUGUGUGUAAGGGUGUGCGCGUGUUCGUGCGCGUAUCGGUUUCAUACAUCGACACCUGUGUGCGGGUUUUGUGCAGCGAAGGUGAUGGGCUUCAUCGCUCAUACACAUACACGGGAGAGAAGCAGGGUGAGCGAAGAAAAAGAGCCACAGGAGGACAUGUAACGUGCUGGUGCGUGUCUGUGUAUGGCCCAGCGUCUUGCGAAUGGGCUCUCUUCCUCCCCUCCUCCGCUCUCACUACCUCUUGUUGCCAUCAUCUCUCUCAGUUCUCUGGCUUUCGUUUUCGUUGUGGUUCGCGUUUUACAGCAUGCGCAGAUGUGCACACGUUCUCCCUCACUUCCUGCGUCUCCUUUUAGCUGUGCUUUUGUAUUUCUGUUGCUUCAGCGGUGCUGGAGCAGGGUGGAGGACGGCAGUGGAAAGGCGGAGGUGGCCCAAGUAGAUCAUGUGUGUGUGUAAGGGGGGGGGGGGCUUUGUGUCAUGUGCACAGAAGAGAGAACGACAUGCAGAGGGGCUACACCAGAAAGAAUGUCUCCUCGUCUUCCCCGGGGCCCUCCCCACGCACGUGCUGCGGCCCCACUCACCUCUCACUACAUUCCCCGUUUUCUUCCGUCUUUUUCCCUCAAUGUUUUUUUGUCAACGCUCGGCUUGCUUUUGUUCGUCGCGUUUGGAACGAAAUCCACACAGGCACGCAAAUUCCGGUCGACCAAACUCGAGGAGCACAAGCGAAGAACCUGAGAAAGCCGGCAAGACUGCAAGAGAGCGAGAAGGAGCCAUUCUCGCCUAUGGCCUCGCUCUCUCUUCUUCUCCGCGCUUUCCUCCAUCUCUUGUGAUUAUCCUACGGUUCGCUUUGUGUGCGCGCGCGUGUGUGUGUUUGAGCUCCCCUGCCCCCUCCCCUCCUCCUCUUGGUUUUACCUGUCUCGCUGCAUCACGUAACGCGAUGCAGCCGAGCGAGGGGUAGUUGAUAGGACGGCGAAGGUGGGGGGGGGGGCAGGGUAUACGUGCGGUUGUCCGUCUUUGGGUAAGUGGCGAGCUUGAAAAAAGCGCUGCAGCAAGCGAGACCAUGGCUGAAGGUGGAGGGGCAAACACCAUCCGAUUACUGUGCGUGGUGUCGUGCUUGCGCAGCUCAUCAGCCACCGCCAUUUUCCUGUCGCCUCGUGCGCCAUCCCCUGUCCACAUCCCGAUUCUCGCUUCCCACUCUUUCUGCGCUGCUCUCUCGGUGCUCUUUCACACGCGCUUGUGCAUUUCUGUGGUUAAG